rnacentral:rRNA from 1 species
GACGAACGCUGGCGGCGUGCUUAACACAUGCAAGUCGAACGGAAAGGCCCCCUUGUGGGGUACUCGAGUGGCGAACGGGUGAGUAACACGUGAGUAACCUACCCUUGACUUUGGGAUAACUUCAGGAAACUGGGGCUAAUACCGGAUAGGAGCUCCUGCCGCAUGGUGGGGGUUGGAAAGUUUCGGCGGUUGGGGAUGGACUCGCGGCUUAUCAGCUUGUUGGUGGGGUAGUGGCUCACCAAGGCUUUGACGGGUAGCCGGCCUGAGAGGGUGACCGGCCACAUUGGGACUGAGAUACGGCCCAGACUCCUACGGGAGGCAGCAGUGGGGAAUAUUGCACAAUGGGCGGAAGCCUGAUGCAGCAACGCCGCGUGCGGGAUGACGGCCUUCGGGUUGUAAACCGCUUUCGCCUGUGACGAAGCGUGAGUGACGGUAAUGGGUAAAGAAGCACCGGCUAACUACGUG